rnacentral:rRNA from 1 species
GGGGUGCUCGAGUGGCGAACGGUGAGUAACACGUGAGUAACCUGCCCUUGACUUUGGGAUAACUUCAGGAAACUGGGGCUAAUACCGGAUAGGAGCUCCUGCUGCAUGGUGGGGGUUGGAAAGUUUCGGCGGUUGGGGAUGGACUCGCGGCUUAUCAGCUUGUUGGUGGGGUAGUGGCUUACCAAGGCUUUGACGGGUAGCCGGCCUGAGAGGGUGACCGGCCACAUUGGGACUGAGAUACGGCCCAG